GGUCACGGCUUCGAUCGAGUUGAGGUUUUCAACCACCUCUUGUCGUGACGUCCCGAGCGGAGGAGUCGGAUUUAGGCCGGCCGCGCCGCGGAGGCACGGGAGGCCAACAUCCGUCACCCGCCUCGAUGCGCCGGAGCGCGGUGAGGGGGGCGGCGACGAUGCGUGACGCCCAGGCAGACGUGCCCUCAGCCUAAUGGCUUCGGGCGCAACUUGCGUUCAAAAACUCGAUGGUUCACGGGAUUCUGCAAUUCACACCAAGUAUCGCAUUUCGCUACGUUCUUCAUCGAUGCGAGAGCCUAGAUAUCCGUUGCCGAGAGUCGUAUUGGUUACGAUUCAGACGCCCCGCGCCACGCCUGCGGAAUCCGCAGGGGGACGCGGACGAUCCGUUUUAGUAGUCCUUGGCGCAAUCCGCGCCGGAAGUGAAGUUAAGUGCGGGCGCCGGCGAACCUGAGCGCGCCGACGGCCCGCGAUUUUUGAAACGUGUUCGCGGUGGUUUGCAGGAUUCGACAA
rnacentral:misc_RNA from 1 species